rnacentral:tRNA from 1 species
AAGACACUAGUAAAAUAUUACACUGCCUUGUCAGGGCAGAAUUGCAAGUUGAACCCUUGCGUGUCUUA